GGUUACCUCAGGUCAGAGAAGACUACCCGCUGGACUUAAGCAUAUCA
rnacentral:rRNA from 1 species